rnacentral:sRNA from 1 species
GCUGGGCAUGGUGGUGCAUGCCUGUAAUCCCAGCUACCUGAGAGGCUGAGGCAGGAGAAUCACUUGAACCCAGGAGGCGGAGACUGCAGUGAGUGGAGAUUGUGCCACUGCACUCCAGCCUGGGUGACAGAGUGAGACUCUGUCUCAA